rnacentral:rRNA from 1 species
AUGGACAUGACCGGCUCGGACCAGCAAUGGAGCUCCUCUUCCUCGCCGUCGUCGACCUCCUCGCACCCGAAGCGCCCCGCCGGGCGCACCAAGUUCAAGGAGACGCGCCACCCGGUGUACCGCGGCGUGCGGCGCCGGGGCAACGCCGGCCGCUGGGUGUGCGAGGUGCGCGUCCCCGGGCAGCGCGGCGAGCGGCUCUGGCUCGGAACGUACCUCACAGCCGACGCGGCCGCGCGUGCGCACGACGCCGCCAUGCUCGGCCUGCUCGGUCGCUCCGCCGCGUGCCUCAAUUUCGCCGACUCCGCUUGGCUCCUUGCCGUGCCGCCCGCGCUCGCCGACCUCGCGGCCGUCAGGCGCGCGGCCCUCGCCGCCGUGGCGGACUUCCAGCGCCGGCAUGCCCCCAACAGCGCAGCCACCGUCCCCGCUGAUGAGGAGACCUCCGGCGCGUCCGCUCUGUCGUCUGCGGACAAUGCGAGCGGUUCGUCAGCGACGUCGCAACCUUGGGCCGAGGGAACGUUCGAGGUGCCGUCCGCGCUGGGCAGCGACAUGUUCGAGCUGGACUUGUCCGGGGAGAUGGACCUGGGCACGUACUACGCGGACCUCGCGGACGGGCUGCUCCUGGAGCCGCCGCCGUCGCUGGACAGCGGGGCGUGCUGGGACACCGGAGACGGCGGAGCUGACUCCGGGCUCUGGAGCUACUGA